CCUACGGGAGGCAGCAGUGGGGAAUAUUGCACAAUGGGGGAAACCCUGACGCAGCGACGCCGCGUGAGUGAAGAAGUACUUCGGUAUGUAAAGCUCUAUCAGCAGGGAAGAAGAAAGACGGUACCUGACUAAGAAGCCCCGGCUAACUACGUCCCAGCAGCCGCGGUAAUACGUAGGGGGGAAGCGUUAGCCGGAUUUACUGGGUGUAAAGGGAGCGUAGACGGCAGUGUAAGUCUGGAGUGAAAGGCGGGGGCUCAACCCCCGGACUGCACUGGAAACUGUACGGCUGGAGUGCAGGAGAGGUAAGUGGAAUUCCUGGUGUAGCGGUGAAAUGCGUAGAUAUUAGGAGGAACACCAGUGGCGAAGGCGGCUUACUGGACUGUAACUGACGUUGAGGCACGAAAGCGUGGGGAGCAAACAGGAUUAGAUACCCGAGUAGUC
rnacentral:rRNA from 1 species